rfam:Acanthisitta chloris contig36013, whole genome shotgun sequence.
AAAGAGGUUUUUUUCAAAACCACUAGUGCUCAAAGUAGGGUGAGG